AUUGUGAGAAGCAGAAGACAUUUUUACAAUGUUUACUUACAAAACUUCCUUGGGGUUUCAAAAAGUGAAUGAAACAGAAAAACCUAAUAGCUCCAAGGGUUGAGAGAGGCCCUGCUGAUUGCUUCAGGCGCUAAUAAAAGUCCCCAUGACUCAAACAUUCCCCAUGCCCUUUUGCUCUUAUAUUCAAGGUGGGUAUAAUAAAUAAUGUUUCUACAGAGGAGGAAAAUGAGGUAAAAAAAAUGUGAAAUGACUUUCCGAACAUCAGAGAGUGUUUGAGUAGCAGAGAGGGAUUAAACAGAUGUCUGGAGGAGGCUGAAACACACGCUUUUUCUGCAAUAUCACAUCAAAAGUUGUCUACGGAGGUGAUUGUUUAGAGCAAAUUGUAGGCUUGAGAAAACUUCCAGUGGAGAGGCACCAGUAAGCAAGAUGUACUUCACUUCAAUAAGCAGAGACUGGCUGGGAACCCAGAUCUGUCCACUCUGGUGAAUUUCCCUCUGGGCCAGUGCUGCCUGCUGUGUCAAAGGUCAUCUGACAUGACCCUCCACCGAAUGGAAUCAUAACUUAUUGCCAUGUCCUGGUUUGAAGAGAGAAAAGCAGCCCCCAGGCUCCUAAACCUAAAGUCAUCCAGGCUGAAGUGGAGGAGAUGAUUUCCAGCUCUGAAGGAGUGUGCCCUGAGAAUGAGCCUUCCUUUUACACCCUGCUGGGCUCCUACAGCCACACUAACCUUUCACCUGGAAAGCCCAGGGAUCUGCCUCUUCCCCAGGACAGUUCUUCCACGUCAGCUGUGGUCCUAAGGACCAAUGGAGAGGUCGUGAGGCGCAGUGAAGAAGCUUGUCUGGGCUGCCAAUCCUUAGAAGAAUAUGAAUGGCUGCCAAUUCCUUGGAAGAGUGAAAUCUCUUAAGACCAAUUUCAAUAAAUAUUUUCAUGGUCAGAUCA
rnacentral:lncRNA from 1 species